rnacentral:rRNA from 1 species
GACGAACGCUGGCGGCGUGCCUAACACAUGCAAGUCGAGCGAGGAGAGUUCCUUGGGAAUAACCUAGCGGCGGACGGGUGAGUAACACUGGGCAACCUGCCUUGUAGAGGGAAUAGCCUUCCGAAAGGAAGAUUAAUACCGCAUAACAUUACAGUUUCGCAUGAAACAGUAAUUAAAGGAGCAAUCCGCUACAAGAUGGGCCCGCGGCGCAUUAGCUAGUUGGUGAGGUAACGGCUCACCAAGGCGACGAUGCGUAGCCGACCUGAGAGGGUGAUCGGCCACAUUGGGACUGAGACACGGCCCAGACUCCUACGGGAGGCAGCAGUGGGGAAUAUUGCACAAUGGGGGAAACCCUGAUGCAGCAACGCCGCGUGAGUGAUGAAGGUUUUCGGAUCGUAAAGCUCUGUCUUCGGGGACGAUAAUGACGGUACCCGAGGAGGAAGCCACGGCUAACUACGUG